GUAUAAGAGACAGCAGUCGCCGCGGGAAUACGGAGGGAGCUAGCGUUGUUCGGAAUUACUGGGCGUAAAGCGCGCGUAGGCGGUUACUCAAGUCAGAGGUGAAAGCCCGGGGCUCAACCCCGGAACUGCCUUUGAAACUAGGUGACUAGAAUCUUGGAGAGGUCAGUGGAAUUCCGAGUGUAGAGGUGAAAUUCGUAGAUAUUCGGAAGAACACCAGUGGCGAAGGCGACUGACUGGACAAGUAUUGACGUUGAGGUGCGAAAGCGUGGGGAGCAAACAGGAUUAGAUACCCGAGUAGUCCCUGUCUCUUAUAC
rnacentral:rRNA from 1 species